ensembl:lncRNA LINC00320 long intergenic non-protein coding RNA 320
GGAGUAUUUGAUCCCUUUAGCAAGGCAGUGAUUUUGAAAUUCGGGUUUAGACAAAAAGAUAUUUCAAGCUCCUGAAGAACAAGUUUGAAGGAUUCAGAGCAGAGAAUUGCACCCUGGCAUGAUGCCUAUGCCAGCUGGACUGUGUGAUUUUUGUUCUUUAGUAGAAGGAUAACAUGACAUAGCAGGAAUAAUACUGCCUUUUCUUUCUGGCAUGGAUCAAGAGAAAAGAAAAUACAAGAAAACAGACAGAAGCAAGGCAAGGUACUUCUAUGGAAGGGUGAGCCCUCACAGAUGGAGCAAUGGGGCGCGCACACCUGAACAAGGGAGGGGAAGGAGUUCUUAUCCCUGAUGCAUGUGACCCCUGCUGCUGUGUCCUUCCCCUAUUGGCUAAGGCUUCUGACAGCUUUGGAGAUUGUGACAUUGGAAUAAAGGAAAAACGUACAGGACUCAUGAAGCGCUGAAAUGUUCACAAAUAUCAAGCAAAAGUCAAUGAAAUUUAUUUUGAGCUAUUUACAUCAUUUAAUAAUUGAGCAAGGUAUACUCCUAUGAACAAAAUUUGGAGCAUGUUUGUCUCUCUCUGCCUGGCGUCUUCAGAAUUUGGAAACUAGUUAGUCAUGGAAAUUUAUUUUGAGCUAUUUACAGCAUUUAAUAAUUGAGCAAGGUAUACUCCUAUGAACAAAAUUUGGAGCAUGUUUGUCUCUCUCUGUCUGCCUGGCAUCUACAGAAUUUGGAAACUAGUUUCGUUCCCAGAUUUCCUAAACUUUCCAGAGAAAAUGGUCUUCUCCCUGGCUCAGCAAGAAGAUGAACUUUAAACACUGAGAAACUGGUCAUCUCCCUGGCUCAACCAGAAGAUGAACUUUAAACACUACUCUCAAUGACUUGAUGUUCCCAUCACUACUCCUGUCAUAAAGGGAGGGGACUCAGAUAUUGAGAAUUUUAUGAUAGUGUGAACUGUCUGAUGCACAUGUACAAGGCUGGUAUUCAUCCCGGUGUA